AUGCUUAAUAAAUAUUAUGUCCUCUCCCUUUUGCCUUUCACAGAGGAGAUUGUGUACCAGCGGUUUUAUUUCCUCAAUCAGCCAAGCUGGAGGCUGGAAUUUACGAAAUGUCUCCUGCUAGAACUACCCUCGUCUGAUUUUUGUGCCAGUCAUCUGAGUAAGCUAGGUUAUUUGGAAGGAAAUGCCCCCAAGGAGGUAUGCCUGUUCAUUUGAGUGAGUUUGGUCAAUUAGUGUGAGCAUGAGAUGUCACCUCUUGGAAAGCCAUUUUCAAGAGCCAAGAUAGAAUUCUCCACGUCUAUUUCUCUGCACCACAGUGAAUGGCAAGAUGCAGGUUCUAUCCACCUGGUCUCAAAAUGAUGGUGACAUGGAGUAGAGUUUUCCACUGAGCAGACAUGGACAGGUUAGGUGAAUGAGAAAUAUUAUUUUCGUUAUUUUAAAUCAGUAAGAUACUGAAUUGAUUGCUAAUAAAUCAAAAUUAAAGGCCAUAAUUAAUAUACUUCAUUUGAUAGUAUGAACUUCAAACAAACUUGGGAUUUUUAGGUAGAAGGAGAAUAGUAUGAAAGUGUUAUGAAAAACAGGGAAGAUUGUAUUCCUCACUUCAGGCUUAAAGUUACCAGCUAUGUGGGAGAGAAAACAGAGAAAUCUAUGUCUUCAGGAGAUAAGAAACAAAGAAUACAUGGAGAAUUUAGGAGAUUUUGCUGAGAAUAUGGCUAUUACAAAGAGAUUGUUAACUUAGAUCAGAUCAGGAGAUCUGAAAAGCAUUUGCACAAGAGGUAAGAGACAUCCUGAAUGUCUUGCAAUAAUCAAGGAUAUGGGGCAGGGAUCAGCAAACUUUUUCUCUAAAGGGUUAGAUGGUAAAUAUUUUUUGGUCAAGCAGCAAAAUUGACUGUAUUAUGCAAGUACCUACAUAACUACUUAAAAUGGAACCACUGAGGUAUGCCAAAAAAAUAUUCUUAGCUUUCAGGCCAUACGAAAUGGGGAAGCGGGCUGCAGUUUGCUGACCCCUGAUAGAAAGCAUGAUGGAAUUAGGUCCUUCCUUGCUUUUCAGGAAUUUCAGUGCCAUCAGCAUAUAAUUACUGCUGAGCAUAUUCCCACUAUGGCUACUUCUGCUGCUGUGCCUAUAGCCUCCACUGCUACUAUUACUGCCAUGACAGAAAGAAACAAUGCCCAUACCAAGAUUACCAACAUUCCUUUUAACAUCGUCAUUCCAAGUACUGCUAUCUUUCCCUAACAUUUAUGAGUACUUGCUCUUUUCUAUGCUUUGCUAAGUACUAUAGUAUCACAGCUCUUUUGUGGUUCACUAUAAUCUUGAAGAUGGAAUUAUUAUUUCCUUUGAAGGGUUAAAGAAACUGUGACUUGGAAAAAUUAGGGUCCAAUGGUACCUAAGUGACGUGGGCACCAAUGGAAACAGCAUUCUUAUUUCCACAUAUGUCACUUUGAAAAAUAUAUAUUAUGUUACUCUUUUAUGCUUUUCCCACAUUACUUACGUUUUUAUAUCCCCUGUUCAGAAAUACUGGUGGGGAGGAAGUCGAGCUAGCUAUGCAAAUGGCUCUAAAUCUUAUACAUCCUUAUGACUACUGAUACAUUGAAGUGUUCCACUGUCAUGCCUUUUCCUGACCUAUGUAAUAAUCUCCCCCAAACUGGUUGGCACUGGACCUGAAUGGCUGCCCUUAUUUUAGUUUCAUUGAAUGAAGUUCAUUCUUGAGGUUUUAAAUAUUUAAAAUUAAUGGACAGUUUGGGAAAAAGUGGACUGAUCAAGCGAGAGGUGUUUGACCUCAAUUGCAUCUGUAUUUAAAGUUGACUUUUUUUUCUAUAGGAAGAUUAAAAAUAUUGAAGUUAGAACAGAAAGUAGUACUUCUGUUGUAUCCACGUAACAUAUUCGAGCUCCUUGACCUGUCUAGGGGAACAGAAAGACCAAAUGAAUAAUAUGACUGAGAUCUACAAAAGAGGAAUCUUCAAGCAGGCAACUUAACCCUCAUUUAAAUAGGGAAGAAACAAAGGUUUUGCCAAUAGUUACAUUCUUUAACUUGUAUACUUUUCAACAAGAAGAAAAUUUAGUCCUGAAAAAUAAUUUUUUAUAAAGGCUGACAUUUUGGCCCAAUAUUGUUGUUAUUGACUUAUUUUUUUUUACACAAGUUUUAAGUCCACAGCAAAAUUAAGCAGAAAGUACAAAGAGGUCCAAUGUGUUUUGGCUAUUUUAAAAAUUAAUAGACUACUUGUUACAAAAAACGAGGUAGGUUUUCUUGUUUGUUUUGUCUUUUUUUUUGUUUUCAAUAACACUCUAAAGGGUACAUUUAUUUUGUCUGCAAAUCAAGGGUGCAUACAUGUUGCCUUGUUUCCUCUUCACUUCAAAAAUGUAAAGUUUCAUCUAGAACUUAAUUGUAUAAGUAUUUGAGGAAUAAUUCAUACCUUUAUUAUAGCAGAUAAAAGUCUAGAUAGGACGUUUAAAAAAUAAUUUCUAAAUUUUACCACAAUUGUUUUAAUUUCAAAAAACUUUCCUUUAUCAUAUUUUUAUCUUUUAUUUUGUAUGUUUUAAUAGUUUCAAAUUUUAUUUUAGAUUUGAGGGAAUGUAUGCAGGUUUGUAACAUGACUAUAUUUUAUGAUGCUGACAUUGGGGGUAUGAAUGAUCCCAUCACCCAGGUUUUCAGCGUAACACCCCAUAGGCAGCUUUUCAGCGCCUGCUUGCCUCUCCCUCCCUUCCUCUAGUAAUCCCUAGGACUAUAGUUCCCCUCUUGUAUAUUUAUGAACCCAAAGUUUAACUCCACAUAUAGGUGAGAAUAUGUGGUAUUUGAUUAUCUGUUCCUAAGUUAAUUCACUUAGGAUAUGGCCCCCACCUGUAUUCAUGUUAUUGUAAAAAAAAAAAACAUAAUUUUGAUUUUUUUAUAGCUGGCAUUCCAUGAUAUAUAUUUACCAAAUUUUAUUUAUCCAAUCAACCAUUGAUAGAUAUGUAGGUUGAUUUCAUGUCUUUGCUACUGUGAAUAGUGCUGUUAUUAACAUGUUAGCACAUGUGUCUUUUUGGUUAAAAAAAAAAAUGUAUUUCCCUUUGAGUAUAUACCCAGGAAUGGGAUUGCUAGAUCAAAUGGUAGUUCUGAUAUAAGUUCUCUGAUAAAUUUUCAAACUGCUUUCCACAGUGGCUGAACCUAUUUACAUUCCCACAAACAGUGUAUAAG
rnacentral:lncRNA from 1 species